rnacentral:rRNA from 1 species
AGCAGCCGCGGUAAUUCCAGCUCCAAUAGCGUAUAUUAAAGUUGUUGCAGUUAAAAAGCUCGUAGUUGAAUUUCGGGGUCAGUAGGCUGGUCGUGCCCCCGGUACGUACUGGUCUCACUGAUUCCUCCUUCCUGAAGAACCGUAAUGCCAUUAAUUUGGUGUUGCGGGGAAACAGGACUGUUACUUUGAAAAAAUUAGAGUGUUUAAAGCAAGCUAACGCUUGAAUACAUUAGCAUGGAAUAAUGAAAUAGGACGAUCGAUCCUAUUUUGUUGGUUUCUAGGAUUGACGUAAUGAUUAAUAGGGAUAGUUGGGGGCAUUAGUAUUCAAUUGUCAGAGGUGAAAUUCUUGGAUUUAU